rnacentral:rRNA from 1 species
CCUACGGGAGGCAGCAGUGGGGAAUAUUGGGCAAUGGGCGCAAGCCUGACCCAGCAACGCCGCGUGAAGGAAGAAGGCUUUCGGGUUGUAAACUUCUUUUGUCAGGGACGAAGCAAGUGACGGUACCUGCCGAAUAAGCCACGGCUAACUACGUGCCAGCAGCCGCGGGAAUACGUAGGUGGCAAGCGUUAUCCGGAUUUAUUGGGGGUAAAGGGCGUGUAGGCGGGAAUGCAAGUCAGAUGUGAAAACUAUGGGCUCAACCCAUAGCCUGCAUGUGAAACUGUAUUUCUUGAGUGCUGGAGAGGCAAUCGGAAUUCCGUGUGUAGCGGUGAAAUGCGUAGAUAUUCGGAGGAACACCAGUGGCGAAGGCGGAUUGCUGGACAGUAACUGACGCUGAGGCGCGAAAGCGUGGGGAGCAAACAGGAUUAGAUACCCGGGUAGUC